AAGAAGAAAAGCUUCCUCUGCCCCCUCAUAUCUCUCCAGGGAAUGAGAGAGUAUGGCAAAAAAUAGAGGGAUGGAGGGAGGGAAGACUGUUGAAUGUAGUUGAGCACAGCGAUCAGAGGUAAUAACAUCACAUUUUAAUUCUAAUCAAAGAGAUGUGGAUAAGAGAGAAGGGCUUUUCCAUUGGUUCUGCUUUUGAGAUCAAAAACCAGCAGGGAAUGCUUCAAUUCGUAAAAAACUGAGAGAGGCAGAGAAGGAACGAAAGUGAGAGAACGCGGAGGAUAAAUAGAGCACCCAGCGUCCAAUGAGAGACUGUGAUGGGACCAACACUGACACCCAGAGCAAAGCAGACCAGAGAUUUCUGACAUGGUGUCGACCCAGAUUAAUUGGAGGAAAAAUGAGGGGAGAGAGGACAGACAAAGACAGACUUGCGCCGCUGCUUCAGAAAACACGGAAUGUAUACCGAGGACAUUCAUCCUCCCAUGUGCCCACAAGAUAUUUCUUAAGGUGUUCUACUGUAAAUAAGGUGUGUGGACCCAGUGUACAGCACUAAUCUUAGAGCCGGGGGAGGGGACGAUUCUCCACAUACAUACAAACCCCCUUCUGCCAAUCAGAGAGAAAGACAGAGAAGGAGAAGGAGAGAA